rnacentral:rRNA from 1 species
UAUUCAUAUAGUACCGUCAACUGUUCACGCAUGAACUAUUUCUUCCUAUAUAAAAGCAGUUUACAACCCAGAAGGCCGUCAUCCUGCACGCGGCAUGGCUGGUUCAGGCUCUCGCCNUUGACCAAUAUUCCCU